CUAGUUGGUGAGGUAACGGCUCACCAAGGCCAAGAUGUCUAGCGGGUGUGAGAGCACGACCCGCGCCACUGGCACUGAGACACUGGCCAGACACCUACGGGUGGCUGCAGUCGAGGAUCUUCGUCAAUGGACGCAAGUCUGAACGAGCGACGCCGCGUGAGCGAUGAAGGCCUUCGGGUUGUAAAGCUCUUUAGGGGGGGAGAAAAACUGAUCUAUCCCCAAAAUAAGCUCGGGCUAAGUUCGUGCCAGCAGCCGCGGUAAGACGAACCGAGCAAACGUUAUUCGGAAUCACUGGGCUUAAAGGGCGCGUAGGCGGGUCAUCAAGUCUGUGGUGAAAUCCUCCAGCUUAACUGGAGAACUGCCGUGGAUACUGGUGAUCUUGAGGAAUGUAGGGGCAUCUGGAACUGGUGGUGGAGCGGUGAAAUGCGUUGAUAUCAUCAGGAACUCCGGUGGCGAAGGCGAGGUGCUGGACAUUUUCUGACGCUGAGGCGCGAAAGCUAGGGGAG
rnacentral:rRNA from 1 species